rnacentral:misc_RNA from 1 species
GAUGAAGAACGUAGCGAAAUGCGAUAAGUAAUGUGAAUUGCAGAAUUCAGUGAAUCAUCGAAUCUUUGAACGCACCUUGCGCCCUUUGGCCAUUCCGAAGGGCAUGCCUGUUUGAGUAUCAUGAACACCUCAACUCUCAUGGCUCGCCAUGAUGAGCUUGGACUUUGGGGGUCUUGCUGGCCUGUGGUCGGCUCCUCUCAAAUGGAUCAGCUUGCCAGUGUUUGGUGGCAUCACAGGUGUGAUAACUAUCUGCGCUUGUGGUUUUCCAUCAGAUAACCUUCAGUGAUGGAGGUUCGCUGGAGCUCAUAACCGUCUCCCCUAAGCGGGGACAGCCCUUUGAAUGUUUGAUCUCAAAUCAGGUAGGACUACCCGCUGAACUUAAGCAUCUCAAUAAGCGGAGGA